rnacentral:lncRNA from 1 species
GGGACUGCUAAUGUAACGGGUAUGUUCCUAGAGCUCACAGGGUGAUUCUCGUUCAUAUAAGAGUUAAUCUGUGCACAGGGCACUCACCAGGACAUUCAAUCCUAUACUGUCACAAACUUUCCAUGGUCCCCGCCAUCUUUGUGGUGUACCCUCAACAUGCCCCCUCCCACCAACCCCCACUUAGCCUUUUCCUCUUUUGAUUCCAAUUCACUGAAUGCUUUUAAUCUACCUUUUAGCUUUGUGUGUGUGUGUGUACAUGUCGGGAGGUGCACAUGCACAUGUGUGUGCACAUCUGAGAAGGAAAGAGGUCAACACUGAGAGUCUUCCUCAACCACUCUCCACUUUAGUUUUUGAGACAUGGAGUCAAUAAACUCAUUAAGCCGAGGACAGAGCAUUUGAUUCAACAACAUGGAAGUCCCAGUUAAGUGGAGAGGAUGGAGAGACGCCUCAGUAGUUAAAGCGCAUGCUGCAUACGCACAAAAGAUUUUAGUUUGGCUUCCUCACCAGCCAUCUAAAAGGUCCCAGGCCUGGUGCUGUGGGCCUGUAAUCCAAAUGCUGAGACAGGAUCCUUGGGGCUCACGGGACAGCUAGUCUUAUUGGGGAGCUCUGGGUUCACUGAGGAACUUAAGUGCAGGCUACGGCCAGCAGCCUCGUGCGUGUCCUUGCUCAGCCUGCAUAUUAGAGGCCAAGAGACGGUCAUCUCAUACCUUUCUGGAAUCAUCAGGAAGCCCUUAUAACUCUCCUGGGUAGCCAUGACCCCAGAGUCAUACAGCUUUUCAUCAACAUGGACGUGGCUCUGACAGCUUGCUACAGAGCGGAUACAUCAGACUCUGGGCUUAUUGCCCUGGUUGGCUACAGGCAGGGGCACCCUCCCUGCCACUGGCUAAGGCACACAGCUCCCUCUUGACACUGCCACUCAAGCUCAGUAGCCUGCCCUGCACCAGAGACAGCAACAGGAACCUUGCAGGCAAGACUGGUGGUUAGGCAAACUGGAUACAGGGUCAAGGCAGUGGCGGUGGCAGAGCGGGCUCUAGGGCACGAAGAAGAGCCCUGCAGAGCAGCCCAGUCUGUAUCUUGCCAUUUAAAUCCUCAGUGUCUUCUAGGCCUUGUAUAACCUACACAUCCUUUACCUCUCCUUAGCCACCUCUCUGUGCCACUCCUUCCAUUGGCUACACUGGCCCCUUAGCUAUUCCCGAGAACAUUCCGUGUAGUAUCACACACAUGCUUUUUGUACUGUUACUUUGCCUGGAACACUUCUUACACAGACAACCACAUAGAUGAUCCUCACCGCCUGAGUCUUAUUCAAACUUCAUUCCCUCAUCAAGACAUCCUUUCUUGGUGCCUAUAGUGGUUGUAUUUCCCAUAUAUUCAUAAUACUAUCUCUCAACCUGAGGUCUUUUUAAGAAUGGCAUCUGUCAUGGUUUGAAGUUGAAACAGGCCCAUAGGCUCAUUGUGUAUUUGAACACUUGGUCCCCAUCUAUUGGUGUUGUUUGAGAAGGCUGGAACCUUUAAGAGGGUGAAAUAGGAUCUCUGGGGUGGGCUUUUUAUCCCAGCCUCACUUCCUCUACAUGCUCUGCAUCUGGGGUGUGGAGGCAAUGUAACCAGCCAGCCCCCUAAUCCUACCCCUGGGCUCACUCUGGCUGCUGCAAGCCUUCCAUGACAGGGUACAUUUACCCCGCUAGAACUAGAGGCCAAACCUUUUCUCCCUUAAGUUUCCUUUGUCAGGGCACUUUAUUGCAGCAACUGUGGAGGUGAUCUUUUUGUGCACUGGUAAAGAUUGCCGUUGUAAGCAGAUGGGACUUUGGUAUUGCUCCUCAUAUGGCUACAUCAUGUUUUGUAAAUACUCCCUCUCUCACCUCCUGAUAGGUUUAAUUUAAAAAAACAAACAAACAAACAAACAAACAAACAAAACUGAUGGUCUAUAGCAUAGGAGGGAUUUCUGGAAGAGAUAGGAACUUGGUGGGUAGAGU